rnacentral:misc_RNA from 1 species
AGACAUGGGUGUGGGACAGU